UGGGAUGUAGCUCAGUGGCAGAGUGCCUGCCUAACAUGCACAAGGCCCUGGGUUCAACUUCCAGUAUCACAA
rnacentral:tRNA from 1 species